AAAAUACUCCUUAAGACAUCGAAAGAAAUACUAAAUUCUUUACCGAAACCUUGAUAUUUUCUCCUUCACCUUCUCUUUUCUUUCUCUUCUUCUCUCACUAGACUACUAUUUAUUUCUCUCUCUCUUUCUCUCUCUAAACCUUUAAAAAUAGAAGAAUGAAAGUAUGGAGAGGAAGGGAAGGGGGAGGGCAAUUUAUAGAGUUUUAGAAUCAUCAGAUUCGCACCAAGUGGUGAAAUUCAGUGAAAAGAGAGCGGAAAAAAUUGUUCGACACGAAAAAGAGGGAGGAGAGCCUCCUAAACCGGUGGCAGUGGCGAACUACCCGAGGUUGUAGUGCUUUAGUCGACGCGCUGCAGGCUAGUUUGCAGGCGCACAAGCCUCCUGCCUCGCGAGCAGAGGCUAGCCUAUGCUAGCACCUGGCCGAGACGCAUU
rnacentral:lncRNA from 1 species